rnacentral:tRNA from 1 species
GCGGGGGUAGCCAAGCGGACAUAAAACGUAAAACGGCGCUGGUCGGGAGCCAGUUCCCCUUUCGGGGAGCGCGGGUUCAAAUCCCGCCCCCCGCG